GGCUGUGACCUUCACAAGAGUUUCUUACUUUUCUUUCUCUCUCCCUUUCUUUAGAUGAGAUAGGGAGUCUAGAGGGGGCUGCUGUUGGGCCCAGUGGAUUCUCAAGAUGAAAUUCCUGCCAUAAUUGCUGACUUCAGCUCCUCAGAGCUAUAGACUGGCUUGACCCGGAAACUCUACUGUGGGUCACAUCUUCUCCACUGGUCUGGCUCCUGUACAGUGUGGCUUGGUCUGGUUUGAGUGCAGAGGUUCAUUUGAAUGGAAGCCUCCCAUAAAUGAUUUUUAUGAUGGCAGCCAACUUGAGGAAUUCUUGAGAGCUGAGAAUGUUCUUUGAGUCAUUCUGGGGAAUCGUGAUGGGAUGCAUUCUAUUUUGUACCUCCAGGUCUCAGUUUUCCCAUCUGUGAAAGAGAAGAUUAGAUUUUAUGACCUCUAAGGUCAAUUCCCACCCUAACAUUCUAUGAAAAUAUGAGUCCACUUUCCUGCCUUAACAACAGUCUAGUGGCUGUAGUGGAAUCUUUCUUUCAUACCGACGGAUCCAGCAGGACCUUAAGUCGUCAUCCUGAAUGUUAGCUCCCAUUUAUCGAGAAUCAAGGUGGGAAAUUGAGCACUGAACAAUCUAUAUAAAAGAAAGACAACCCUACUAUGGAGAGGAAAUUAGCUACAGAUAUUAAAAGGCCGAGUACAGCUUCUUUGAGCCAUGAGCUUUCUAGCAGAUAUUUAUGAUUUGAUCCUAUGCAAAUGUGAAACGUCUGUGGACAGGCUGCUUUAAAGAUCACUACUAGCCCAGCAACUGCAAAAAUGUUGAAAACAGCACUUUAAGUACUUUGUGUUUGAUGUUAAGUUAUUGCUAAUUUUUUGGAUCUGGGGAAGUUCCAUUUCCAGAAAUCAGAUACAGUAUUAUAAGAACACAAGGGAAUCAUUUCCAGCACUAUUUAUAUAAAUGUAAGGAUUCAACACAAAUGCAAAUUAAAAACUGCCUCCUUA